ACAAUCGAACCUCUAUACUCCGAACGCCGUGUGUAUUUUAAUACGUGUUUUUAUACAGGGUGUCUCAGCUAAAACUUUCGAGCCUGAUAUCUCAGAUAUUUGUCAACGGAUUUUUAUGAAAUUUAAAAUGCAUAUAUUUUAGAAAAUAUAGAUUAAAAUCCAAUUAAUGCAACAACUAAAGUCUUAAAAACGUAAUUUUUACAUGCCUUUUUAAAAUGUUAAGCUUUUUAAGACAUAUUAAAAAAAUUAUCGUCAGUGAAAAAUGCUGUCAGAAAAAACUCCUUCGUGGAAGACGUCUGUUUCGCGAGAACAAUGAGAAACAAACUGUUAAACGUGGGUACAGAUGCAAAAGCGUAGAUCUCUAUGAGACAAAUGAGCACUACCAUUGAAUUUUGGUCACUCCUACUCGCAGAAACGUAACUGUCACGUAAGGGACAUUUCACAAUUAUCUCUCACCCAUACAAAGUUAAAAACAAAUAUUUUUGACUUACUUUUGGUACUGGAUGCUUUAAUUCUUUCAAAAAGGACUAAAAGACUGAACAACAACUGAAAAAUUCUAGACACUUGAAUAUUCAGGACUUUGGAAAUGUUUCGUACACUGCUGAUUGGAUUCUUUUCAAAAGCUUGAAUUACAGCCCCAACUAUUGCAUCGUUUCCAGUGACGUGUUUUGUCCUCACUAGAUUUAGUUCAUGUACGCUUCCUGCGUCUUCAAAUUAUUGACGAUUCUUUGAACUUUAAAUUUCAUAAAUAACAUUUCACAAAAAGUCACACGACACUUUCCAUAGGCGAAUAUUGAUUCCUUUUUCAACAAUACAAAAAUUUCAGCCACUGUUGUUGGUUUUUAAAGUAAUUUCACCAACUUAAAACAAUUUUACUUUUCUGACAGCGCGCAGACUUCGACAGUUUUUUUCAGUGGUACACAAAAUGCCGCACAGAAAUGCUUCAUCAAUUGUUUCAAAACGUGACUGUCCAAAUUACUAUCAAAAUUUGGAUUAAGUUUUUAACAACAAAAUUUAAUUUUUUUUCUUGGAUCAGCCGAGCGAUUUGGUUAAUUUUUUGUGUGGCCAUUUAUUUUUCGGAGUUUAAUAAUCCACCGGUAAUUUGGCUUAAUUUUAAAUAAAAGAAAUGUGUUUUAAAAUUUCAUUUUUUAACUUCAGGUUAUUUUUUUGAAAGACCACCUCCUAAAAUAUGUGCAUUUUAAAUUUCAUAACAAUCCGUUGACAAAUAACUGAGACAUUAAGCUCGAAAGUUUUAGCUGAGACACUCUGUAUAAAAAAUUCUUUAUUGUUGAAUUUAUACAUAUCAAUUAAUAUAUUAAUAGUCAAUAGUGGGUUAUUUGUGACGUGUCUAAGAUGCAACAGCAUUGGUUGUUUAUCUGUUAAACAGUAAUAUUUCGUAAUAAACUUUUAGUAAGACUGUUAAAACAAACAAUCUUGACAAUACCCAGAACAAUGUAAUCGUGGAUUAAUUUUGAAAUGUUUUCAUCAUGGCCUCCUUGAUGUAUGGAGACAACUUCGUUGUUCAGGCCUGGCGCAUCGUUAAGUUCGGCUGAUUCUCCACUGGCGCUGCAUUUAGCGGACUGACGUUUAUUUGACAAAUACCAUUUUUGAGGUUAAAGACUAAUAAAUUUGAAAGAUGUAAGUGUGCAUUGUGAAAUACGUUGAAAAUGUGAGGAUAAUUCUAAAGUUAUGCCCUGAAUGAACGUUUGGAUAGUGUAACUUUUGCAGGAAAUCAUUUUACGAUCAUUAGGAUUUUUUAUUUUCAGCUUCAGAAGAUAUACAAAUUAUUUUAAGGUGAAUUGAUUGUUCAUCGUUUAUAAGUAUUUUAAGCAUAACCUACGGCACUAGUACGCAGACACAGAUGCAGAGAAAACGAUGUUUCAAAGAACCUUCCAUUUAUUAUGCAUACUCUAUGGUUUUACCAAUGGUUAAGGUUGAAUGCGUUACAAAUCUGUGAUUUUUAAGACAUGGCUUAAGUUUUCUGAAAGUUUUAGUAAAAUGUACAAAGAAAGUCGUUUUUUUUUCAAAUGAAAUGGUUUAAAAAAGCUCGAUCCAACGUUCUUCUGCUAGAGUGUCUCUGAACCGUCCGUUCCAAAGUCCCUGUCUGGACCUCUGCUCACUCUCAAGCACCGCUCGUGGAUCACCAAACUCCCGAAAAAAAUCUACUACUUUAUAAAUUUUUUUGAGUUUUUGUAUUUAGAAAUUAUCAAUUACAUUGUGGGCUCUUUUUCA